UGGCGCGAGAAUAUUGGCACAAUGGGGGAAACCCUGAUGCAGCAACGCCGCGUGGAGGAUGACGCAUUUCGGUGUGUAAACUCCUUUUAUAUAGGAAGAUAAUGACGGUACUAUAUGAAUAAGCACCGGCUAACUCCGUGCCAGCAGCCGCGGUAA
rnacentral:rRNA from 1 species